rnacentral:lncRNA from 1 species
GGCUUUUGCCUAAGCAAUUUAAAAGUGCUUUUUUUUUAACUGUCAUGUGGAAUUUUAAACAUAGUGCUUUGCAAAGUUGCUGAGAAGAGAGAACAUGCCGCACUGUUCUCUUGGUUUCUCCUUCAAAUGCCAGAGGAAAGGGAAUAGUAGAACAUUGACAGACACUGCCUCUCUUCCAAGCA